rnacentral:rRNA from 1 species
GGACUACUGGGGUUUCUAAUCCCAUUCGCUCCCCUGGCUUUCGUUCCUCAGCGUCAGUUACGGCCCAGUUAGUCGCCUACGCCACUGGUGUUCUUCCCAAUAUCUACGCAUUUCACCGCUACACUGGGAAUUCCACUAACCUCUACCGCACUCCAGUCCGCCAGUAUCCAAUGCACUCCCGGGGUUGAGCCCCGAUCUUUAACAUCAGACUUAACGAACCGCCUACGAACUCUUUACGCCCAAUAAAUCCGGACAACGCUCGCAUCCUACGUCUUACCGCGGCUGCUGGCAC